rnacentral:rRNA from 1 species
AACGAACGCUGGCGGCAGGCCUAACACAUGCAAGUCGAACGCCCUAGCAAUAGGGAGUGGCAGACGGGUGAGUAACACGUGGGAACGUGCCCUUCGGUUCGGAAUAACUCAGGGAAACUUGAGCUAAUACCGGAUACGUGCGAGAGCAGAAAGAUUUAUCGCCGAAGGAUCGGCCCGCGUCCGAUUAGCUAGUUGGUGAGGUAAUGGCUCACCAAGGCGACGAUCGGUAGCUGGUCUGAGAGGAAGACCAGCCACACUGGGACUGAGACACGGCCCAGACUCCUACGGGAGGCAGCAGUGGGGAAUAUUGGACAAUGGGCGCAAGCUUGAUCCAGCCAUGCCGCGUGAGUGAUGAAGGCCCUAGGGUUGUAAAGCUCUUUCGCCAGGGACGAUAAUGACGGUACCUGGAUAAGAAGCCCCGGCUAACUUCGUGCCAGCCGCCGCGGUAA